rnacentral:rRNA from 1 species
GACGGAGGAUGCAAGUGUUACCCGGAAUCACUGGGCGUAAAGCGUCUGUAGGUGGUCAAAUAAGUCAACUGUUAAAUCUUGAGGCUCAACCUCAAAAUCGCAGUCGAAACUAUUAGACUAGAGUAUAGUAGGGGUAAAGGGAAUUUCCAGUGGAGCGGUGAAAUGCGUAGAGAUUGGAAAGAACACCGAUGGCGAAGGCACUUUACUGGGCUAUUACUAACACUCAGAGACGAAAGCUAGGGUAGCAAAUGGG